AUCCGAGCCUGGGAGAGCAGAAGCCAAGCUGGGUCUUAGGGGCUGCGUCUCUCUGGGCAGCCGGAUCUAGGUUCCAGCUAGUGAUAAACGCCACCCGCGAGAGAUGCGCACAGCGUGUUCCACAGUAAAGGUGAAUGAUUAAAUUUAGAAAACUACAGCGCAUGUUUUUGAGAAGACAAG